UACGAAGGGUGCUAGCGUUGUUCGGAAUUACUGGGCGUAAAGCGCGCGCAGGUGGUUUCUUAAGUCUGAUGUGAAAGCCCACGGCUCAACCGUGGAGGGUCAUUGGAAACUGGGGAACUUGAGUGCAGAAGAGGAAAGUGGAAUUCCAAGUGUAGCGGUGAAAUGCGUAGAGAUUUGGAGGAACACCAGUGGCGAAGGCGAACUUUCUGGUCUGUAACUGACACUGAGGCGCGAAAGCGUGGGGAGCGAACAGG
rnacentral:rRNA from 1 species